GAGGACGUAGCUCAGUGGUAGAGUGUGUGCUUAGCAUACAUGACAUCCUGGGUUCAAUCCCCAGUGCCGCCA
rnacentral:tRNA from 1 species